CUACGCCACGCCCCGCCGGAGCCGCCCCCUUCGCCGCGGGAGCCGCGGGCCGCUGGAGCCGCCCUUCGCCGCCCCGCCGCUCAGCUUGCCGGAGCCGCCCGCCGCACCCCGUUGGCCACGGGAGCCGCGUGCCGCCGAGCCGUUCCUCCACGACCACCACAACCAAGGCAGGGAGCGCUGCUCCAACCUCCUCUCCUAUGACUCCAAGUCUGACGACGCCCGCGACCAGGCGUGCUCCCCUCCAUGAGAUUUCAGGAUAGAAAGGGAGCUUUGGAGAGGGAUCGCAAAGAUCAAGGCUAUUGUGUCAAGUAAUAUGCUGAAAACGUCCAUUGGGUGCAUCCAUCUCGCCCCAGUUCAUCACCAACCACCGUGCAAUUUACAUCCACUGCGAUCAUGGAUGACCCCGUGAGACAUUGUCGUCAGUCCUAUUCUUCUAGAUACAAUGGGUCAGCUAAUACGCCAUUACUAUUUCUCCAAUAUUGUUCAUGAUCUCUUCGCCGCCCCUUGAUGCCGGGCUUGGAGCUCACCUGGCCCGCAUGACCCGGCCGCCUCUCCCACGCCGUGUCUGCCCAGCAGUCGCACUAGGCCAAGACGAGGACAAAGUCAAACCCCAGACAGCGUAGGGACUGAAGCAACAAUUUGUUCAUUUCGGACACUUGGUACUGGCACAGCGGAGUUAUUGUGGUAUAUGCCAGCAUGUUUGAUGCUGUCACACGAGCUGUUGAUAACUCGAUAUGCUAUGAGUUGUCCUUCUGAUGAAGAACUUUUUACUUACAUCUCAAUUUUCAUUGUGUCUGGAGGAUAAAUACUAAUACUAUCUCCUUUGAUCUUUUGGCUGUCCCUCGGGCCAUGAAUGUUCCUACUGGGGUGAAGGAGAACAUUCAGCUCAUGAGGGGGCUUCACAUGGUCGCCGAUAUCCAAUGCCUUGAUUGUCGUGAGGCGCUCGUGUGGAAGUGCAAGAUGGACUACGAGGAAUCACAGAAGUACAAGGAAUGGAAGUUCAUAUUUGAGAAGGCAAAUAUUGUACAUGAGAAUUGGUAGUAAAUAAAAAAGUCAACAAUGUGCCAAAAUGCUAUUAUGGAGAUGUGAAUUGUGAUCCCUGCCUUUGUACAUAGCAGUCACCUGUAAGUACCAAUUUGUUGGUCGCACCAUCUUAUUUCGCGUCAUAAUUUACACUUUUGUUUUCUAUGGAGAAUUUUGUUAAUUUGUCUCGGAACCAUUUUUUGUUCAUAGCUGGUUGGCUUAAGAAUGUUUGAUCUUUUUGUUAAACAUCGAAUUAAGAAAUGGAUCAACUUCUUGCUGUAA